UCCUGCUUACACUUAAAGAGGGGCUGUGAAGCACCUUGUGACAUAUGGGAACCCGGCAGGGCAGUGGUGAUAGACACUGUGAAGAGAGGCGAUGCUGGACCUCAUCAUCUUUGGCCUUCAUUUCUUCUUCUGCUUUCUCAUUUCUAUUGCAAUUUGGUGUCGACCAAAGGAUGUGGAUUUGCACAGCUCAAGCACAGGAGGUGAAAUAGAGCCAGCUGGUUUUAUAUUUGUUGGCAAAGAAGAGGAUAUAAAGAAGUCCCAAAGAUUAACAGCCAAAAUCAAUGGCAGAGAAAUUGUUGUUUUCUACCAUAAGGGAAAAUUUCACGCUCUGGACUCUCGCUGCUACCAUGAAGGAGGCCCUUUAUGUCAAGGAGAAAUAGAGGAUAUCGAUGGACAAGCAUGUAUUGUUUGUCCUUGGCAUAAGUUUAAAAUUACCUUGGAAACAGGAGAAGGAUUGUAUGAAGGAAUAAAUCCUCUGGAGCCAUCACCAACACCAAAGUGGCAAUCAAAAGGAGUCAAACAAAGGAUUCAUAAGAUCACAACAGACAAUGGAAAUGUUUAUGUGAGUCCUCCAGAUUUGUCUGUGAAUUUUGACUCUGAUUAUUUUGCUGACAAGUACAAAAAUGGUGGUGAAUUAUCUAUGGAAAAACAAAGCCACUCAGAAGACAUAGAGUAGGUCUUGGACAGACAACAGAAUCCUCAGGAAAGCACAAACGAAGAAACUUUGUUGGGAAAUAAAAAUGUACUGUGUCAAGAAGAUUGUCUUCGAGUUAAUGUUAAUAUUCUAUUAAUGUUAUUUUAAAGCAUUGAAAUACAUUGAAAUGAGUAAGAUAAGAAGCCCUGCAUUGUCAGAAAUGUGACUUACCUUGUGCUGAGGAUUUUUUUUAUUGCACUUGCAUUUCAAAAAAGACUUAAUUAUAGCAGAAAGCCUCACAAUAUUUGGUCUUUUGCUAGAUCUAUUUUAAAUUUGAAGAGGGGAUAUAGUAUACUACAACUUAUAAAACUUACAACAUAGUUUCAGGUAGAUAGUCAGGUGUAAAGGUUGUCUUUAUAUACUUAACAGUUUACACUUCUGUGGCAAAAAUAACAUGAAAAAUUUUAAAUUUUGAGAUAUUUGUGUGAUCUUUAGGUAUUUAUUAAGUGCCACAAAGGGUAAGCACAGAACUUCAGCAUAUUUUGAUGCACUCUUUUAUGCCUAUUUGUGCAUUACUACCUUGAGUACAUAGAGGUAUUUGUUUUCCUUCUUCUCACUGUACUCCUGUUUUUAGUUCAUUGAAUAAUGUGGAAAGGAUUUGUUAUGUAUAGCUUGUUUUCACUGAUUCUGUUGGUUAAAGAGGGAGCUGUUUGCUGUGAUAUGUGAACUAGUGGCCCUUGUUUGCUUGUUUUUAUUUAUUGUAACUACAUUUUUAUACCUUGAUUUGGGGAAAAAAGUGCUUUCUGCGUAGAAAACAAAACCUGCUUUUUUCUCUGUGGGUUCACUGUACAAGAUCAGAUCUGACCCAAACACCACUUCCAAGGAAGUUUCUCUCUGAGCUCUGCUGCACUCUGGGACAGGGUGGGUUCUGCUGUUCAGCCUGUAGAGUGCAGAGAUAUCCUGUAAACACACAGCAUCACAGAAUCAUUGAAGCUGGAAAGCACCUCUAAAACCAUUGAGUCCAGCUGUUAAAUCAGCACAUCCAGGCCCACCACUAAACCAUGUUCCCAAAUGUCAUAUCUACACAUUUUUUAAAUACAUCAUCCCACAUGGCUGCAGUUAUUCACUGUGGGGUUUUUGUGUGAUUUGUUGGAGUUUUUUUUGCAAAGUUCAUUCAUAGUCAGGUUCAGUUUGAAAUGCCUGCUCUUCCUCUGUAAGUUUUUCUUGUGUUUGCAGCAGGCCUACUUGCUUUUAAUGUAUGUCACAGGUAAUGCCUGUGUCAACACUGUUUGUACAAAUGUGUUUAGAAGUAGAGAGGCAGAGGGAAGAGUCAAAGGAAAAAUUGUGCCGCAUUAAUCACAAUGGAAAAAGCAAAAUACACAAUCAAUUUCACAACAUCUAAAUUGAUAGAACUUCCUCUGGUCAUGCCUUCUUGAUAUGGUUUUUGCAGUUGAAAGAGGAAAGUGGCCCCUUGAAAGUGCUGUUGAGGUGACCUACCCCAGUUUUGCAUUUUGUAAGAGCUACAGCACAGAAAUGCUUUUCUUGUUAUCCUCCUCUUCUUCCUUCUUUUCCCUUCCCUGACCACUCAGUCAGCCAGUGCCAAUGAUCAGACACAAAUGCCUGCCUUCUGUUAGGUGAAUCACAUCUUGAUUAUCUGCUAGAAACUGCUGUUGUGUACUGAUCAUUCUGUGAUUUGUUGGUGUUUUUUAAUUGCUGUUUGUUUGCUUAUAAAUGAAUAUGUCAGUUUCUCCUCUUGAAGAUACUAGGUAGAUGGUGGGAAGGUGGAGCAAGUACCUUCCCACCAUCUACCCCGGCUGAUGCCCCAAGGGGCUUGGGUGGUGUCAGGGGGAUGGAGAAUUGCUGCCCUUCCCUCCCUCCACACCCAGGUACCUGCAACUGUGAUUAAACUUGACUACAGACAUUGUGUCCUAGUAAAAGACAUGGAUCAUAUAAAAGGAAAGUAUUGCAAAAUCUUCAGAUACACCUGUGUUAGGAAAAUUAAUCCAUGAACACCAGAGGUUUAUGUGCAAAAAAGAGACAGAGGAGUCUUUUUACUUUAUUUGAAUAAAGGGAGAGGCCAUGGGGCAUUUCCCCUGGGGUCUCUCAGUUUUUUGGAGGACACAGCCUCCUUUUUAUCCUAAUUUCCUGGCUGCAUUUCCCUCUCUCUUUCCCCACUGGCUGAGGUACUUGAGAGGUACAGACUUCCUGAAAUGCUUAAGACCUGAGAUUCCCCUUUUAAUGUAUAACCCCCCUAAUUUUUAAUUCUUAUGGGAUUUGUGUUUUUUUCCCCAUUGUUGCUUUUAUCUUUCAAUAUUCAAGUUAAUUUACAAACAAACCUACAGUUUACCUGUAAAGGCAAUUUCUUCUAUUCCAUUCAGGAAUAGGAUCCUUCCUAUAGUUUCUCUUAUCUCUCAGUGCUGGUUUUAUCUACCAGCAGACCCAGGGCUUGUUUGUAAAGACAAAUCUUGUCAUUCCUCUCACCUGCAUUAACUCAUGCGCUUGCUGAUAGCAUGGGAAAGGUGCUGAGAGCUUAUCAGAGCAGUGGCUCGCAGAAAAGGGACAUGACAUGAUUAAACUAGUAAGAAUUUAGGCCUCAAGGAUAUGCUAUCCUUGAAGGAAGGCUUAUGUGAAGAACAGGAUGUAAGCCGGAUGUGAAAUUAGUCAAGUAUGGGAAAACUAAAGAUAUGAUGUACUGACUUUAACUGUUUUGCAAUUAUUAAGGUCGAUGCUAAGUAAUGCUUGCGUUAAUUAGUUAUGUCCAAUGAUGAGCUUGGCUUUUGCAAUAUGUAUGAGCUAAUUAUGAAAAGUAUAAAAAUGUAAAGCAACCUUAAUAAAGUGAGAUCUGCUGACCAUGAUAGCAUGAGGCAUUUCUCCCGCGGCUCCGGUAACCCGACCCCGACAUCUGGCGCCCGAACAGGCUUCUCCCCCUCCCUCCUCAGAGCUGCGUUGGGCUCGGGUCCUCUGCGACGGUGAGAUUUUCACCCGGGGUGAACAUAAAGGUGUGCCCUGCCGACACGCGCUGCCGACGCCUGGAGGGUUGCGACGGUACCGGUCCCACCUGGAUUCCUGCUAGAUGGACGCGAGCUGCAAUAAAUGAACAGCCCCGAAGGGAGGAGGCUUCAUCGCUUAAGAAAGGCGCUCCAACCACUGCUGAUACAGGCUGACAGCCUGCCUGGGACUCAGUUCGUGAUUAACUCUGGAGAGGACAUGCAGUUUCGACUUCUUCCAGCUUUAAAUGCUUGUUUGCUUUUAGGACCAUGCAUUUUCCAAUGUAUACAACGCAUGAUGAUGUCAAUGGUAGAGAAUGUAAAAAUGUCAAUGUUUGCCAUAAAAGAAAACGGGGGAAGUGCUGAGAGCUUAUCAGAGCAGUGGCUCGCAGAAAAGGGACAUGACAUGAUUAAACUAGUAAGAAUUUAGGCCUCAAGGAUAUGCUAUCCUUGAAGGAAGGCUUAUGUGAAGAACAGGAUGUAAGCCGGAUGUGAAAUUAGUCAAGUAUGGGAAAACUAAAGAUAUGAUGUACUGACUUUAACUGUUUUGCAAUUAUUAAGGUCGAUGCUAAGUAAUGCUUGCGUUAAUUAGUUAUGUCCAAUGAUGAGCUUGGCUUUUGCAAUAUGUAUGAGCUAAUUAUGAAAAGUAUAAAAAUGUAAAGCAACCUUAAUAAAGUGAGA